rnacentral:rRNA from 1 species
GAUGAACGCUAGCGGCAGGCCUAAUACAUGCAAGUCGAGGGAGAAUGUUGGAUUCGUCUGACAUGAAACCGGCGCACGGGUGCGUAACACGUAUGCAACCUACCUUUAACUGGGGUAUAGCUCAGAGAAAUCUGAAUUAAUCCCCCAUAAGACUACGACAUGGCAUCAUGAUGUAGUUAAAGCUCCGGCGGUUAAGGAUGGGCAUGCGGUACAUUAGCUAGUUGGUGAGGUAAUGGCUCACCAAGGCUACGAUGUAUAGGGGGUCUGAGAGGAUGAUCCCCCACACUGGUACUGAGACACGGACCAGACUCCUGCGGGAGGCAGCAGUAGGGAAGAUUGGUCAAUGGACGCAAGUCCGAACUAGCCACGCCGCGUGAAGGAUGAAGGCCCUAUGGGUCGUAAACUUCUUUUAUUAGGGAAGAAAAAACGGGAUGCGUCCUGUACUGACGGUACUUAAUGAAUAAGGAUCGGCUAACUUCGUGCCAGCCGCCGCGGUAA